CAGCUGCCAGGCACUUGUGCGGUCUCGUCGUCAGCACAGCCGGGCCUACACGCAAGCAACCAUGUCUAAGGGACCUGCAGUUGGCAUUGAUCUUGGCACCACCUACUCCUGUGUGGGUGUCUUCCAGCAUGGAAAUGUGGAAAUAAUUGCCAAUGACCAGGGUAACCGAACCACGCCAAGCUAUGUUGCUUUCACGGACACAGAACGAUUAAUUGGGGAUGCGGCCAAGAAUCAGGUUUCAAUGAACCCCACCAACACAGUUUUUGAUGCCAAACGUCUGAUCGGACAUAGGUUUGAUGAUGCUGUUGUCCAGUCUGAUAUGAAGCACUGGCCCUUCAUGGUGGUGAAUGACGCAGACCCUGAUGAAGCUGUUGCCUAUGGUGCAGCUGUCCAGGCAGCCAUUCUAUCUGGAGACAAGUCUGAGGAUGUUCAAGAUUUGCUGCUCUUGGAUGGCACUCCUCUUUCCCUUGGUAUUGAAACUGCUGGUGGAGUCAUGACUGCCCUCAUCAAGCACAAUACAACCAUUCCCACCAAGCAGACACAGACCUUCACCACCCACUCUGACAACCAGCCAGGUGUACUGAUUCAGGUGUAUGAAGGUGAAAGGGCCAUGACCAAGGACAACAACCUGCUUGGGAAGUUUGAGUUUACAGGCAUACCUCCAGCACCCCGUGGGGUUCCUCAGAUUGAGGUUACUUUUGACAUUGAUUCCAAUGGCAUCCUCAAUGUUUCUGCUGUUGAUAAGAGCACAGGAAAGGAGAACAAGAUCACCAUCACCAAUGACAAGGGCCGCCUGAGUAAGGAGGAUAUUGAGCGCAUGGUCCAAGAAGCUGAGAAGUAUAAGGCUGAGGAUGAGAAGCAGAGAGAUAAGGUUUCCUCCAAGAAUUCACUGGAGUCCUAUGCCUUCAACAUGAAAGCAACUGUUGAAGAUGAGAAACUUCAAGGCAAGAUCAACGAUGAGGACAAACAGAAGAUUCUUGACAAGUGCAAUGAAAUCAUCAGUUGGCUGGAUAAGAACCAGACUGCAGAGAAGGAAGAAUUUGAGCAUCAGCAGAAAGAACUGGAGAAAGUCUGCAAUCCUAUCAAUACCAAGCUGUACCAGAGUGCUGGUGGCAUGCCUGGAGGAAUGCCUGGUGGCUUCCCUGGUGGAGGAGCUCCUCCGUCUGAUGGUGCUUCUUCAGGCCCCACCAUUGAAGAAGUGGAUUAAGUCAGUAGAGAGGGUGUAGCAUUGUUCCACAGGGACCCCAAACAAGUAACAUGGAAUAAUAAAACUAUUUAAAU